UGGGGAAUUUUGCACAAUGGGGGAAACCCUGAUGCAGCGACGCCGCGUGAUUUAGAAGGCCUUCGGGUUGUAAAAAUCUUUUCUAUGGGAAGAAAAUGACAGUACCAUAGGAAUAAGGACCGGCUAAUUACGUGCCAGCAGCCGCGGUAAUACGUAAGGUCCGAGCGUUGUCCGGAAUCAUUGGGCGUAAAGGGUACGUAGGCGGGUAAGCAAGUUAGAAGUGAAAUCCUGUAGCUCAACUACAGUAAGCUUUUAAAACUGCUCAUCUUGAGAUAUGGGAGGGAAAGUGGAAUUCCUAGUGUAGCGGUGAAAUGCGCAGAUAUUAGGAGGAGUACCGGUGGCGAAGGCGACUUUCUGGCCAUAAUAUGACGCUGAGGUACGAAAGCGUGGGUAGCAAACAGG
rnacentral:rRNA from 1 species